rnacentral:rRNA from 1 species
GACGAACGCUGGCGGCGUGCUUAACACAUGCAAGUCGAACGAUGAAGCCUUAGCUUGCUUUGGUGGAUUAGUGGCGAACGGGUGAGUAACACGUGAGCAACGUGCCCAGGACUCUGGAAUAACCGCGGGAAACCGUGGCUAAUACCGGAUAGGUGCAGAGGCCGCAUGGUCUUCGGUUGGAAAGUUUUUGCGGUUCUGGAUCGGCUCACGGCCUAUCAGCUUGUUGGUGGGGUAAUGGCCUACCAAGGCGACGACGGGUAGCCGGCCUGAGAGGGUGACCGGCCACACUGGGACUGAGACACGGCCAAGACUCCUACGGGAGGCAGCAGUGGGGAAUAUUGCACAAUGGGCGCAAGCCUGAUGCAGCAACGCCGCGUGGUGGAUGACGGCCGUCGGGUUGUAACCCUCUUUUAGUAGGGAAGAAGCGCAAGUGACGGUACCUGCAGAAAAAGCACCGGCUAACUACGUG